rnacentral:rRNA from 1 species
UUGAACGCUGGCGGCAUGCCUUACACAUGCAAGUCGAACGGUAACAGGUCUUCGGAUGCUGACGAGUGGCGACCGGGUGAGUAAUACAUCGGAACGUGCCCAGACGUGGGGGAUAACGAGGCGAAAGCUUUGCUAAUACCGCAUACGAUCUAAGGAUGAAAGCAGGGGACCGCAAGGCCUUGCGCGUUUGGAGCGGCCGAUGGCAGAUUAGGUAGUUGGUGGGAUAAAAGCUUACCAAGCCGACGAUCUGUAGCUGGUCUGAGAGGACGACCAGCCACACUGGGACUGAGACACGGCCCAGACUCCUACGGGAGGCAGCAGUGGGGAAUUUUGGACAAUGGGCGAAAGCCUGAUCCAGCAAUGCCGCGUGCAGGAUGAAGGCCUUCGGGUUGUAAACUGCUUUUGUACGGAACGAAAAGGCUCUGGCUAAUACCUGGGGCACAUGACGGUACCGGAAGAAUAAGCACCGGCUAACUACGUG